UGGGCAACCCCAGUCUUUCUCAGGACUUUUUGAUCCUGCUUCAGUUUCAGCUUCACAGUGCGUACAAAUUUACUUUUUAAAAUCCUCUGAAUAACAUCGGUGCUGACAUCAGAGCCUUCGGCCAACCUGGGAACUGUCCAGGAAUCUCCAAAUUCCUUGUGUAAAUACGGGAUCUGGUCCAUGGCUUCCCUUGUCAGGGUUCUGGGAGGGAGACCUGGCGCCUCCAUUUGCCUCCGGAUUUUCUGGAGUCGAAUUGCUUUCUUCUGCCAUUUCAGGGUGCUAAGAGAGAGAACCAACGGCAGAACCAUGCGUGCAAGCAAGAUGGGUGUUGAAGAGUCUCCGGCUAAAUCUCAGACAGCCCAGUCGUCUUCUCUCUGUCCCCAAAGGCAACUGGGCCAUGUUUGCCAGUUUAGAGUGCUGUGUACACCGCCCCAGAAUCUGCACACCUAAAACAAUAACUGCCUGUAAGCGAGUCGAACUAUAAACGGAUGAUGAAAUAACGUCACUAGCAAAGGGACCGGCAAUCAUGAGGAGACUGAACACCAGCCCUGCGGCCCUCACAACGGAGAAGCAUAAACAUCAGUGAAGAAUACAUGUACCCAGUCUAUCUGCAGUCUGAGUGACAUAUGCCCCGCCCUGACACUGACAACCACCACAGUGAGCCCUGGAAAGGACCAGAAAAGAAAUGAAAAUGCCAAGCGUGGUGGUGCACACCCGUAAUCCAGCACUUGGACAGGAGGAUCACAAGUUGAAGCCAGCCUGAGCAACUGAGCAAGAUCCUGUCUCCAAAAAGAAGAAAGAGAGAAAAGG
rnacentral:lncRNA from 1 species